rnacentral:sRNA from 1 species
AAAACACGUGAGUGCUGCUGGUCGCUGUAGCGGGCCUCGGCGUGGGCGGCGGGAAUCCGCGGACAUCGGGUCGGGUCUAGGCUCCCGAGUCCGCGCUUCUGGGCGGGAGCCCUUGUCUGGGUCUCGCGGGGGUCUGCCAGAUGCGUAGGUCUCACUGACUGGUUCCUUGUUGCUCUUUCCAGCAAAUGGCGGAUGACGCCGGUGCAGCGGGGGGGCCCGGAGGCCCUGGUGGCCCUGGGAUGGGGAACCGCGGUGGCUUCCGCGGAGGUUUCGGCAGUGGCAUCCGGGGCCGGGGUCGCGGCCGGGGACGGGGCCGGGGCCGAGGCCGCGGAGCUCGCGGAGGCAAGGCCGAGGAUAAGGAGUGGAUGCCCGUCACCAAGUUGGGCCGCUUGGUCAAGGACAUGAAGAUCAAGUCUCUGGAGGAGAUCUAUCUCUUCUCCCUGCCCAUUAAGGAAUCAGAGAUCAUUGACUUCUUCCUGGGGGCCUCUCUCAAGGAUGAGGUUUUGAAGAUUAUGCCAGUGCAGAAGCAGACCCGUGCCGGCCAGCGCACCAGGUUCAAGGCGUUUGUUGCUAUCGGGGACUACAAUGGCCACGUCGGUCUGGGUGUUAAGUGCUCCAAGGAGGUGGCCACCGCCAUCCGUGGGGCCAUCAUCCUGGCCAAGCUCUCCAUUGUCCCCGUGCGCAGAGGCUACUGGGGGAACAAGAUCGGCAAGCCCCACACCGUCCCUUGCAAGGUAGGCUGGUGGCAGGUGAUGGGCCUGCCGUGGGGCAGGCUCCUUCGGGCCCCCAUCUCCUGACUCCUUCCCUCACCAGGUGACAGGCCGCUGCGGCUCUGUGCUGGUGCGCCUCAUCCCUGCACCCAGGGGCACUGGCAUCGUCUCCGCACCUGUGCCUAAGAAGCUGCUCAUGAUGGCUGGUAUCGACGACUGCUACACCUCAGCCCGGGGCUGCACUGCCACCCUGGGUAACUUCGCCAAGGCCACCUUUGAUGCCAUUUCUAAGACCUACAGCUACCUGACCCCUGACCUCUGGAAGGAGACUGUAUUUACCAAGUCUCCCUAUCAGGAAUUCACUGACCACCUCGUCAAGACCCACACCAGAGUCUCUGUGCAGCGGACUCAGGCUCCAGCUGUGGCUACAACAUAGGAUUUUUAUACAAGAAAAAAUAAAGUGAAUUAAGUGUG